AUAUGGUCAAGUGAAGAAGCGCAUACGGUGGAUGCCUUGGCAGUCAGAGGCGAUGAAAGACGUGGUAGCCUGCGAAAAGCUUCGGGGAGUCGGCAAACAGACUGUGAUCCGGAGGUAUCUGAAUGGGGGAACCCAGCCAUCAUAAGAUGGUUAUCUUGUACUGAAUACAUAGGUGCAAGAGGCGAACCAGGGGAACUGAAACAUCUAAGUACCCUGAGGAAAAGAAAUCAACCGAGAUUCCCUUAGUAGUGGCGAGCGAACGGGGACCAGCCCUUAAGUUGUAUUGAGAUUAGCGGAACACUCUGGAAAGGGUGGCCAUAGUGGGUGAUAGCCCUGUACGCGAAAAUCCCUUUGCAAUGAAAUCGAGUAGGACGGGGCACGAGAAACCUUGUCUGAAUAUGGGGGGACCAUCCUCCAAGGCUAAAUACUACUGACUGACCGAUAGUGAACCAGUACCGUGAGGGAAAGGCGAAAAGAACCGCGGAGAGCGGAGUGAAAUAGAUCCUGAAACCGUAUGCGUACAAGCAGUGGGAGCCCACUUUGUUGGGUGACUGCGUACCUUUUGUAUAAUGGGUCAGCGACUUAUUUUCAGUGGCGAGCUUAACCGAAUAGGGGAGGCGUAGCGAAAGCGAGUCUUAAUAGGGCGUCUAGUCGCUGGGAAUAGACCCGAAACCGGGCGAUCUAUCCAUGGGCAGGUUGAAGGUUGGGUAACACUAACUGGAGGACCGAACCGACUACCGUUGAAAAGUUAGCGGAUGACCUGUGGAUCGGAGUGAAAGGCUAAUCAAGCUCGGAGAUAGCUGGUUCUCCUCGAAAGCUAUUUAGGUAGCGCCUCAUGUAUCACUGUAGGGGGUAGAGCACUGUUUCGGCUAGGGGGUCAUCCCGACUUACCAAACCGAUGCAAACUCCGAAUACCUACAAGUGCCGAGCAUGGGAGACACACGGCGGGUGCUAACGUCCGUCGUGAAAAGGGAAACAACCCAGACCGUCAGCUAAGGUCCCAAAGUCAUGGUUAAGUGGGAAACGAUGUGGGAAGGCUUAGACAGCUAGGAGGUUGGCUUAGAAGCAGCCACCCUUUAAAGAAAGCGUAAUAGCUCACUAGUCGAGUCGGCCUGCGCGGAAGAUGUAACGGGGCUCAAACCAUGCACCGAAGCUACGGGUAUCAUCUUUUGAUGAUGCGGUAGAGGAGCGUUCUGUAAGCCUGUGAAGGUGAGUUGAGAAGCUUGCUGGAGGUAUCAGAAGUGCGAAUGCUGACAUGAGUAACGACAAUGGGUGUGAAAAACACCCACGCCGAAAGACCAAGGUUUCCUGCGCAACGUUAAUCGACGCAGGGUUAGUCGGUCCCUAAGGCGAGGCUGAAAAGCGUAGUCGAUGGAAAACAGGUUAAUAUUCCUGUACUUCUGGUUAUUGCGAUGGAGGGACGGAGAAGGCUAGGCCAGCCUGGCGUUGGUUGUCCAGGUUUAAGGUGGUAGGCUGAGAUCUUAGGUAAAUCCGGGAUCUUAAGGCCGAGAGCUGAUGACGAGUGUUCUUUUAGAACACGAAGUGGUUGAUGCCAUGCUUCCAAGAAAAGCUUCUAAGCUUCAGGUAACCAGGAACCGUACCCCAAACCGACACAGGUGGUUGGGUAGAGAAUACCAAGGCGCUUGAGAGAACUCGGGUGAAGGAACUAGGCAAAAUGGCACCGUAACUUCGGGAGAAGGUGCGCCGGUGAGGGUGAAGCAUUUACUGCGUAAGCUCAUGCCGGUCGAAGAUACCAGGCCGCUGCGACUGUUUAUUAAAAACACAGCACUCUGCAAACACGAAAGUGGACGUAUAGGGUGUGACGCCUGCCCGGUGCCGGAAGGUUAAUUGAUGGGGUUAGCGCAAGCGAAGCUCUUGAUCGAAGCCCCGGUAAACGGCGGCCGUAACUAUAACGGUCCUAAGGUAGCGAAAUUCCUUGUCGGGUAAGUUCCGACCUGCACGAAUGGCGUAACGAUGGCGGCGCUGUCUCCACCCGAGACUCAGUGAAAUUGAAAUCGCUGUGAAGAUGCAGUGUAUCCGCGGCUAGACGGAAAGACCCCGUGAACCUUUACUAUAGCUUUGCACUGGACUUUGAAUUUGCUUGUGUAGGAUAGGUGGGAGGCUUUGAAGCGUGGACGCCAGUCUGCGUGGAGCCAACCUUGAAAUACCACCCUGGCAACUUUGAGGUUCUAACUCAGGUCCGUUAUCCGGAUCGAGGACAGUGUAUGGUGGGUAGUUUGACUGGGGCGGUCUCCUCCUAAAGAGUAACGGAGGAGUACGAAGGUGCGCUCAGACCGGUCGGAAAUCGGUCGUAGAGUAUAAAGGCAAAAGCGCGCUUGACUGCGAGACAGACACGUCGAGCAGGUACGAAAGUAGGUCUUAGUGAUCCGGUGGUUCUGUAUGGAAGGGCCAUCGCUCAACGGAUAAAAGGUACUCCGGGGAUAACAGGCUGAUACCGCCCAAGAGUUCAUAUCGACGGCGGUGUUUGGCACCUCGAUGUCGGCUCAUCACAUCCUGGGGCUGAAGCCGGUCCCAAGGGUAUGGCUGUUCGCCAUUUAAAGUGGUACGCGAGCUGGGUUUAGAACGUCGUGAGACAGUUCGGUCCCUAUCUGCCGUGGACGUUUGAGAUUUGAGAGGGGCUGCUCCUAGUACGAGAGGACCGGAGUGGACGAACCUCUGGUGUUCCGGUUGUCACGCCAGUGGCAUUGCCGGGUAGCUAUGUUCGGAAAAGAUAACCGCUGAAAGCAUCUAAGCGGGAAACUUGCCUCAAGAUGAGAUCUCACUGGAACCUUGAGUUCCCUGAAGGGCCGUCGAAGACUACGACGUUGAUAGGUUGGGUGUGUAAGCGCUGUGAGGCGUUGAGCUAACCAAUACUAAUUGCCCGUGAGGCUUGACCAU
rnacentral:rRNA from 1 species